UACGGAGGGUGCGAGCGUUGUCCGGAAUUAUUGGGCGUAAAGGGCUCGUAGGCGGUCUGUCGCGUCGGUAGUGAAAACUCAGGGCUUAACCCUGAGCCUGCUUCCGAUACGGGCAGACUAGAGGUAUGCAGGGGAGAAUGGAAUUCCUGGUGUAGCGGUGAAAUGCGCAGAUAUCAGGAGGAACACCAGUGGCGAAGGCGGUUCUCUGGGCAUUACCUGACGCUGAGGAGCGAAAGUGUGGGGAGCGAACAGG
rnacentral:rRNA from 1 species